rnacentral:rRNA from 1 species
UACGAAGGGGGCUAGCGUUGUUCGGAUUUACUGGGCGUAAAGCGCACGUAGGCGGAUCGAUCAGUCAGGGGUGAAAUCCUGGAGCUCAACUCCAGAACUGCCUUUGAUACUGGGGAUCUCGAGUCCGGGAGAGGUGAGUGGAACUGCGAGUGUAGAGGUGAAAUUCGUAGAUAUUCGCAAGAACACCAGUGGCGAAGGCGGCUCACUGGCCCGGUACUGACGCUGAGGUGCGAAAGCGUGGGGAGCAAACAGG